GAGAGGGAAAUUGCGCGGCGCGGCAACAAGAUUUAAAACACCGAAACACGUCCGACGGUAGACCGAAUACUGUGCCGCUACGGUCGACCGUUCGGGUACGAGACGAACUCCGAUCGCGACGAAACUUGACAGGCGGCCUACCCAUAUAUAAAUAAUACCGCACGACAAAUUCCAGCUCAAUCGGAGAAAGUUUUAUACACGCUUUAAAAACAGGGUUACGACGGUGCCGCGGACGCGUGCGUGUGCGGUCGGGCUCAGAACGGACAA
rnacentral:lncRNA from 1 species